GCAGUGAUGGUUCAGUGGUAGAAUUAUUGCCUCCCAUGCAGAAGACCCAGAUUCGAUUCCUGGUCAAUGCA